GAUGAACGCUGGCGGCGUGCCUAAUACAUGCAAGUCGAGCGAACAGACGAGGAGCUUGCUCCUCUGACGUUAGCGGCGGACGGGUGAGUAACACGUGGAUAACCUACCUAUAAGACUGGGAUAACUUCGGGAAACCGGAGCUAAUACCGGAUAAUAUAUUGAACCGCAUGGUUCAAUAGUGAAAGACGGUUUUGCUGUCACUUAUAGAUGGAUCCGCGCCGCAUUAGCUAGUUGGUAAGGUAACGGCUUACCAAGGCAACGAUGCGUAGCCGACCUGAGAGGGUGAUCGGCCACACUGGAACUGAGACACGGUCCAGGCUCCUACGGGAGGCAGCAGUAGGGAAUCUUCCGCAAUGGGCGAAAGCCUGACGGAGCAACGCCGAGUGAGUGAUGAAGGUCUUCGGAUCGUAAAACUCUGUUAUUAGGGAAGAACAAAUGUGUAAGUAACUAUGCACGUCUUGACGGUACCUAAUCAGAAAGCCACGGCUAACUACGUG
rnacentral:rRNA from 1 species